rnacentral:rRNA from 1 species
AUUGAACGCUGGCGGCAUGCCUUACACAUGCAAGUCGAACGGCAGCACGGGUGCUUGCACCUGGUGGCGAGUGGCGAACGGGUGAGUAAUACAUCGGAACAUGUCCUGUAGUGGGGGAUAGCCCGGCGAAAGCCGGAUUAAUACCGCAUACGAUCUACGGAUGAAAGCGGGGGACCUUCGGGCCUCGCGCUAUCGGGUUGGCCGAUGGCUGAUUAGCUAGUUGGUGGGGGAAAGGCCUACCAAGGCGACGAUCAGUAGCUGGUCUGAGAGUACGACCAGCCACACUGGGACUGAGACACGGCCCAGACUCCUACGGGAGGCAGCAGUGGGGAAUUUUGGACAAUGGGCGAAAGCCUGAUCCAGCAAUGCCGCGUGUGUGAAGAAGGCCUUCGGGUUGUAAAGCACUUUUGUCCGGAAAGAAAUCCUUGGCCCUAAUACGGUCGGGGGAUGACGGUACCGGAAGAAUAAGCACCGGCUAACUACGUG